rnacentral:rRNA from 1 species
UACGUAGGAGGCGAGCGUUGUCCGGAUUUACUGGGCGUAAAGAGCGCGUAGGCGGUUGCUUAAGUCUGAAGUGAAAUCUCCCGGCUCAACUGGGAGGGUGCUUUGGAUACUGGGCGGCUAGAGGACAUCAGAGGAAAGCGGAACUCCCGGUGUAGUGGUGAAAUGCGUAGAUAUCGGGAAGAACACCAGUGGCGAAGGCGGCUUUCUGGGGUGUAACUGACGCUGAGGCGCGAAAGCGUGGGGAGCGAACCGG